rnacentral:rRNA from 1 species
CGGAGGAUCCAAGCGUUAUCCGGAAUCAUUGGGUUUAAAGGGUCCGUAGGCGGUUUAGUAAGUCAGUGGUGAAAGCCCAUCGCUCAACGGUGGAACGGCCAUUGAUACUGCUAGACUUGAAUUAUUAGGAAGUAACUAGAAUAUGUAGUGUAGCGGUGAAAUGCUUAGAGAUUACAUGGAAUACCAAUUGCGAAGGCAGGUUACUACUAAUGGAUUGACGCUGAUGGACGAAAGCGUGGGUAGCGAACAGGAUUAGAUACCCUGGUAGUCCACGCCGUAAACGAUGGAUACUAGCUGUUGGGAGCGAUCUCAGUGGCUAAGCGAAAGUGAUAAGAUCCCACCUGGGGAGUACGUUCGCAAGAUG